rnacentral:rRNA from 1 species
UAUUGGACAAUGGGGGCAACCCUGAUCCAGCCAUGCCGCGUGAGUGAUGAAGGCCUUCGGGUUGCAAAGCUCUUUUGGCGGGGACGAUGAUGACGGUACCCGCAGAAUAAGCCCCGGCUAACUUCGUGCCAGCAGCCGCGGUAAGACGAAGGGGGCUAGCGUCGUUCGGAAUUACUGGGCGUAAAGCGCGUGUAGGCGGUUUGCCAAGUUGGGUGUGAAAGCCUUGGGCUUAACCCAAGAAAUGCACUCAGUACUGGCAGACUAGAGGACCGGAGAGGAUAGUGGAAUUCCCAGUGUAGUGGUGAAAUACAUAGAGAUUGGGAAGAACACCAGUGGCGAAGGCGGCUAUCUGGACGGUUCUGACGCUAAGACGCGGA